GACGAACGCUGGCGGCGUGCUUAACACAUGCAAGUCGAACGGAAAGGCCCUGCUUUUGUGGGGUGCUCGAGUGGCGAACGGGUGAGUAACACGUGAGUAACCUGCCCUUGACUUUGGGAUAACUUCAGGAAACUGGGGCUAAUACCGGAUAGGAGCUCCUGCUGCAUGGUGGGGGUUGGAAAGUUUCGGCGGUUGGGGAUGGACUCGCGGCUUAUCAACUUGUUGGUGGGGUAGUGGCUUACCAAGGCUUUGACGGGUAGCCGGCCUGAGAGGGUGACCGGCCACAUUGGGACUGAGAUACGGCCCAGACUCCUACGGGAGGCAGCAGUGGGGAAUAUUGCACAAUGGGCGGAAGCCUGAUGCAGCAACGCCGCGUGCGGGAUGACGGCCUUCGGGUUGUAAACCGCUUUCGCCUGUGACGAAGCGUGAGUGACGGUAAUGGGUAAAGAAGCACCGGCUAACUACGUGCCAGCAGCCGCGGUGAUACGUAGGGUGCGAGCGUUGUCCGGAUUUAUUGGGCGUAAAGGGCUCGUAGGUGGUUGAUCGCGUCGGAAGUGUAAUCUUGGGGCUUAACCCUGAGCGUGCUUUCGAUACGGGUUGACUUGAGGAAGGUAGGGGAGAAUGGAAUUCCUGGUGGAGCGGUGGAAUGCGCAGAUAUCAGGAGGAACACCAGUGGCGAAGGCGGUUCUCUGGGCCUUUCCUGACGCUGAGGAGCGAAAGCGUGGGGAGCGAACAGGCUUAGAUACCCUGGUAGUCCACGCUGUAAACGGUGGGUACUAGGUGUGGGGUCCAUUCCACGGGUUCCGUGCCGUAGCUAACGCUUUAAGUACCCCGCCUGGGGAGUACGGCCGCAAGGCUAAAACUCAAAGGAAUUGACGGGGCCCCGCACAAGCGGCGGAGCAUGCGGAUUAAUUCGAUGCAACGCGUAGAACCUUACCUGGGUUUGACAUGGAUCGGGAGUGCUCAGAGAUGGGUGUGCCUCUUUUGGGGUCGGUUCACAGGUGGUGCAUGCCUGUCGUCAGCUCGUGUCGUGAGAUGUUGGGUUAAGUCCCGCAACGAGCGCAACCCUUGUUCACUGUUGCCAGCACGUUAUGGUGGGGACUCAGUGGAGACCGCCGGGGUCAACUCGGAGGAAGGUGGGGAUGACGUCAAGUCCUCAUGCCCCUUAUGUCCAGGGCUUCACGCAUGCUACAAUGGCUGGUACAGAGAGUGGCGAGCCUGUGAGGGUGAGCGAAUCUCGGAAAGCCGGUCUCAGUUCGGAUUGGGGUCUGCAACUCGACCUCAUGAAGUCGGAGUCGCUAGUAAUCGCAGAUCAGCAACGCUGCGGUGAAUACGUUCCCGGG
rnacentral:rRNA from 1 species